rnacentral:rRNA from 1 species
AACGAACGCUGGCGGCAUGCCUAACACAUGCAAGUCGAACGAGACCUUCGGGUCUAGUGGCGCACGGGUGCGUAACGCGUGGGAAUCUGCCCUUGGGUCCGGAAUAACUCAGAGAAAUUUGAGCUAAUACCGGAUGAUGACGUAAGUCCAAAGAUUUAUCGCCCAGGGAUGAGCCCGCGUAGGAUUAGCUAGUUGGUGAGGUAAAGGCUCACCAAGGCGACGAUCCUUAGCGGUCUGAGAGGAUGAUCAGCCACACUGGGACUGAGACACGGCCCAGACUCCUACGGGAGGCAGCAGUGGGGAAUAUUGGACAAUGGGCGAAAGCCUGAUCCAGCAAUGCCGCGUGAGUGAUGAAGGCCUUAGGUUGUAAAGCUCUUUUACCCGGGAUGAUAAUGACAGUACCGGGAGAAUAAGCCCCGCUAACUCCGUGCCAGCCGCCGCAGU